rnacentral:rRNA from 1 species
AUUGAACGCUGGCGGCAGGCCUAACACAUGCAAGUCGAACGAGUGGCGGACGGGUGAGUAAUGUCUGGGAAACUGCCUGAUGGAGGGGGAUAACUACUGGAAACGGUAGCUAAAACCGCAUACCAUAGGAUGUGCCGAGAUGGGAUUCGCUAGUAGGUGGGGUAAAGGCUCACCUAGGCGACGAUCCCUAGCUGGUCUGAGUGGAUGACCAGCCACACUGGGACUUAGACACGGUCCAGACUCCUACCGAACGCAGCAGUGGGGAAUAUUGCACAAUGUGCGCAAUCCUGAUGCAGCCAUGCCUCGUGUAUGAAGAAGGCCUUCGGGUUGUUAAGUACUUUCAGCGGGGAGGCGUUACCCGCAGAAGAAGCACCGGCUAACUCCGUGCCAGCAGCCGCGGUAAUAC